AUGGUUAAAUCUUGGUGGGAUGAGCUCCUCACUAGCAAUGCUCAACCAGUGAAAACAUUGUCUUCUCUACUGCUACUUGUGGGAUGGGAAAUCUGGACGGAAAUGAAUGCACACGUUUUCAAGAGCAAGGUGGCGCCGGUGGCUAUCAUCACGCGGAACGUCAAAGAUGAAGUGUCUCUUUGGGCCAUUGCGGGUGACAAGUAUUCAAGUAAUGUAAUGCCACGAGAGUAA
rnacentral:rRNA from 1 species